rnacentral:rRNA from 1 species
UACAGAGGGUGCAAGCGUUAAUCGGAAUUACUGGGCGUAAAGCGAGCGUAGUCGGUUAUUUAAGUCGGAUGUGAAAUCCCCGGGCUCAACCUGGGAAUUGCAUUCGAUACUGGAUAGCUAGAGUUCGGCAGAGGGAAGCGGAAUUUCGGGUGUAGCGGUGAAAUGCGUAGAUAUGCGGAGGAACACCGAUGGCGAAGGCAAUCCCCUGGGCCUGCACUGACGCUCAUGCACGAAAGCGUGGGGAGCAAACAGG